rnacentral:lncRNA from 1 species
UUGUUUCAAAUGCCCAUAGACUCCUUCAUUUAAAAAGAAGAUGGUCGUUGUGGUUUUGCAAAAUCGUGUUGUGGGACAUGUGCGUACAUGGCUAAUGUGUGGGGUGGUUUUUAAGGCUUGAUGCUUAAUAAAGUAAGAGGAUUGUCUCAUGUAGAGUUGCAUUUGGAUUUUCAGAGCACCCCACAACUUAGCCAUGUACG